rnacentral:lncRNA from 1 species
UUAUGUAUUUUUAAAGUGUAGGGGGUAGGUCGCCCCCAUCCAGCUGGACAAUUGUCAAUCCAACAGUGUCAAAACACAGUGUCUUCCGAAAGCAACAGACUUAAGGGAUCUCGUGGAUAAGAAGAAGAAAACUAAGUUUUUAUCUUGCCAGUUUGGGAGUCGUUAGUAUCCUGGCACCCUUUAGUUAGACGGCAGAUUGACCACAGUCUGGGGAAUUGGCACCCACCGUGCCCCUCAUCCCCAGAACCAGACACAGGGGUCAGCUCGUGUCUAAGACAAGCAAGGACCGGGAGCAUAACAGAAGGAAGGAAUUUAAUAACGGACAGCGGUGGGACCCAGGAACCUCCGCCUGAGCCCUCUGGCAAGCCUGCACCAGGGAUGGAGCACUGCGCACAGGCAUAAUCCAGGAGACCUCAUGGAAGCACAAAUUCACUGGCUUUUGUGGAAAUCAUAGGCAUGCAAGAGCUGGGAGACAGCACCCAAUGUAGUACUAUCUGUAAUCCCAGCACUCAUGAAUCUGAAGCAGGAAGAUCACUACAAAUUCGAGC